GGUUGCGAUCAUACCAGCACUAAUGCACCGGAUUCCAUCAGAACUCCGCAGUUAAGCGUGCUUGGGCGAGACUAGUACUAGGAUGGGUGACCCCCUGGGAAGUCCCCAUGUUGAAACCC
rnacentral:rRNA from 1 species